rnacentral:rRNA from 1 species
UACGAAGGGGGCUAGCGUUGCUCGGAAUCACUGGGCGUAAAGGGCGCGUAGGCGGUGCGGUAAGUCUGAUGUGAAAUCUCCGGGCUCAACUCGGAGUCUGCAUCAGAAACUGCCGUGCUCGAGUGUGGGAGAGGUGAGUGGAAUUUCCGGUGUAGCGGUGAAAUGCGUAGAUAUCGGGAGGAACACCUGUGGCGAAAGCGGCUCACUGGACCAUACUGACGCUGAGUGCAACGAAAGGCAUAGGGGAGUCAA